rnacentral:lncRNA from 1 species
CGCGCCGUCCCUAGGGCGCUGGUGACGCUGAGCCGCCAGGACAGCUGCCCGGCCGUUCUAGGGCCCUGGUGACACUGAGCCUCCAGGACAGCUGCCCUGACGUCCCCAGGGCGAUGGUGAUGCUGUGCGCCAGGACAGCUGCCCGGCUGUCCCUAGGGCGCCGCGCUCGGGCUCAGGGCGGGCCUCAGGCUCGUCUGGGCGGAGAGCAGCACCGGGCCCAGCAGCCCGCGGAACGGUGGCCAUCCACAGGGACCUCCAGCCGGAACUUCCUCCUGGACACCAGUCACAGCACAGAGGACAGGCCCCUCCUGGACCACACCCCGUGGCAUCUACAGGGCCAGACCAACAGGGCCUGGUGGAGACUCCGAGGCCAGGCCGGGAGCCGCCCUCCCUCCGAGCCCCAGGACUCCCGCAAGGCAGAGCUCCUGGGAUGUGAGGCCGCCCUCAUCUAG